CAGGCCUACACAUGCAAGUCGUACGAGAAAUUCUGCUUCGGCGGAAGAGUAAAGUGCGCACGGGUGAGUAACACGUGGGUAAUUUGCCCCUGAGACCGGGAUAACUUGCGAAAGCGGGGCUAAUACCGGAUAAGACCACGGUCCGUUCGCGGGAGCGGUAAAAGCUGGCCUCUACAUGUAAGCUAGCACUCAAGGAUAAGUCCCGCACCAUUAGCUUGUUGGUAGGGUAAUGGCCUACCAAGGCGACGAUGGUAGCUGGUCUGAGAGGAUGAUCAGCCACACUGGAACUGAGACACGGUCCGACUCCUACGGGAGGCAGCAGUGGGGAAUCUUGCGCAAUGGGGGAAACCUGACGCAGCAACGCCGCGUGAGUGAUGAAGGCCUUUGGGUCGUAAAGCUU
rnacentral:rRNA from 1 species